GCUGCUGCUUGAUGGCAAGUUUCCCUUUACUGCCUGCUCUUUGGGUGCUCCGCAGACAUGGCCUAAAGAGGAGGGCAGGGGGCUAAUUAUUUUCCUCAAUCCUGUGACAAAAGGAAUUGGAGGUGACAGGAAGAACAAUAACAAUUUGGUUCUCAGUGAAUUCUUAAUAAAUGAUUGUUAAACU